rnacentral:ncRNA from 2 species
AACUGCAUAUCUUUUUAAGGUGCCCCGUAAAAGGGGAGAAUAGGGAAUUCGAAAAUAGCCACGUUGGAGCUAUAAACGAAGCGGACCCACCACUGUAAUCGGCGAGCUGUUAGUGGUCACUGGCGUAAGCUGGGAAGGCCUUAAGGAUCAGCUAUGACCCGUUAGCCAGGAGACCUGCCUUAUUAUUUAUGACUUA